rnacentral:rRNA from 1 species
AGAGUUUGAUCAUGGCUCAGGAUGAACGCUAGCUACAGGCUUAACACAUGCGAAGUCGAGGGGAAACGAUAUUGGAAGUCUUGCUUCCGAUAGGCGUCGACCGGCGUACGGGUGAGUAACGCGUAUCCAACCUGCCCACCACUUGGGGAUAACCUUGCGAAAGUAAGACUAAUACCCAAUGACGUCUCUAGAAGACAUCUGAAAGAGAUUAAAGAUUUAUCGGUGAUGGAUGGGGAUGCGUCUGAUUAGCUUGUUGGCGGGGUAACGGCCCACCAAGGCGACGAUCAGUAGGGGUUCUGAGAGGAACGGCCCCCCACAUUGGAACUGAGACACGGUCCAAACUCCUACGGGAGGCGCA